UAAAAUUAGGAUUAACUGCAUUUGGGGUAAAAUCAACUUGCGAAUUAAGGGCGAUUUAGGGUUCAACAAUCUGGUUCAGCAACCCAAAUUUUGAUUCCUGGUGAAAUUGCGUUCAUGGUGUAAUUGAAUUCGUGGUUUGCUCAAGAGUGUGGUUCGUUCAACAACGAAUGGGUUUUCUGGCCAUUCGUGCUGCGCUGCAGUUAGCAAAGUUGUUGUUCCAAAAUUUAAAAGCAAAGGGUUAGGGUUAAGAAUGACUUCUUCACAAAGUUGUUCUUCUUGUUUGAAGACAUGGGGCAAAGGAUUUUCACAUUCCUCACAUCGUUGUAACGAAAGUUGCCAUAACUACAAGGAAUGUUUUGAGAAUUUUGAAAAUUUUAUGUGUUCUUCAUGUAGAGGCCGAUUAUCAGUUUCUACUGUAAUUAAAAUGAACAAUCUGGGUUCGUGUAAAAAAGUUCGUUUUAGUCCCCCCAAUGGUUUAAAAAUGUUAAAUGUGGUCCCCCUUUUCUUUAAAAAUUGUGCAAUGUGCUCCCUAACGUAUAUGGCUAUCAUACAUAUUAAGG
rnacentral:lncRNA from 1 species